rnacentral:rRNA from 1 species
CGCGGGGAACUGAAACAUCUCAGUACCCGCAGGAAGAGAAAGAAACAUCGAUAUCCUGAGUAGAGGCGAUCGAAAGGGGCAGAGCCUAAACCGUGCGGUUCAAGGACCGUGCGGGGUUGUAGGAGCGACCAAAGGAACAUGUCAAGGAACGCGAAGCGCAUGGAAAGGCGCCGCGCAGAGGGUGACACGCCCGUAGCGGCAACGAGGACAUGUCAGGGACGCCACCUGAGUAGGGCGGGGCACGAGGAAUCCUGUCCGAAUCCGCGGGGACCAUCCCGCAAGGCUAAACACUUCCGGAAGACCGAUAGUGGACCAGUACCGUGAGGGAAAGGUGGGAAGCACCCCGAACAGGGGAGUGAAAUAGAACCUGAAACCGUUCGUUUACAAGCGGUCGGAGCGCGGGAGCGCGACGGCGUGCCUUUUGCAUAAUGAGCCUACGAGUUGCUUCUGUCCGGCAAGGCUAAGUACCUGAGGUACGGAGCCGAAGCGAGAGCGAGUCUGAAUAGGGCGUUGAGUCGGAUGGAGCAGACGCGAAACCUAGUGAUCUACCCUUGUCCAGGGUGAAGUCGCCGUAACAGGCGAUGGAGGCCCGAACCAGUUUCCGUUGAAAAGGGCUUGGAUGAGGUGAGGGUAGGAGUGAAAGGCCAAUCAAACUGGGAGAUAGCUCGUACUCCCCGAAAUGUCUUUAGGGACAGCCUCGACGGUGUGUAUGUGAGGUAGAGAUACUGAUAGGACGAGGGGGCUUCGCCGCCUGCCGAGUCCUGCCAAACUCCGAAUGCGCAUACAUUAGACGUCGGGAGUGAGUCGGCGGGUGCUAAUAUCCGUCGGCGAGAGGGUAAGAGCCCAGACCUCCGGCCAAGGCCCCCAAGAGCAGUCUAAGUUGAGAGAGAACAAGGUGACACCGCAGAGACAGCUAGGAUGUUAGCUUGGAAGCAGCUAUUCAUUCAAAGAGUGCGUAACAGCUCACUAGUCGAGCGGAGCCGCGUGGAUGAUGAGCGGGCAUCAAGACUGCCGCCGAAGCCGAGGACGCGAAGCGAUUCGCGUGGUAGGGGAGCAUUGAAACCAGCAGUGAAGGUGGCGCGGCGAGCGCUACUGGAGCGGUUUGAAAAGAAAAUGUAGGCAUGAGUAACGACAAGGGGAAUGGAAAUUCCCCCGCCGACAGCCCAAGGGUUCCUGAACAACGCUAAACGUAUCAGGGUAAGCCGGGAGCUAAGCCGAAGCCGAAAGGCGCAGGCGAUGCACAAGCGGUAAAGAUUCCGCUGCCGGCCAUGCAGGGUGACACGGGACCGAGGAGUGGUGCAGCCGCCGUCUGACGGAAUAGACGGUUGAACCGGGGUAGGGAGACCGAGCCGGGACAGUACGGAGAGCCUUCGGGCGAUCCGACAGCGCUGCAGAAUCAGACUCGCGAGAAAACCGUGGGACCGCCAAGAGCAUGGCCGCCCGUACCGUAAACCGACACAGGUGGGCGAGGAGAGUAUCCUAAGGCGUCGAGUGAAUCACAGCUAAGGAACUAGGCAAAUUUACCCCGUAACUUCGGGAGAAGGGGACCCUGGGCGACCAGGGCGCAGAGAAAUGGCCCAGGCGACUGUUUACCAAAAACACAUGGCUAUGCGAAAUCGUUAAGAUGACGAAUAUGGCCUGACACCUGCCCGGUGCCGGAAGGUUAAGAGGGGGAGUCACCGCAAGGGAAGCUCUGAAUCGAAGCCCCGGUAAACGGCGGCCGUAACUAUAACGGUCCUAAGGUAGCGAAAUUCCUUGUCGGGUAAGUUCCGACCUGCACGAAUGGUGUAACGAUCUGGGCACUGUCUCAGCUGUGAGCUCGGUGAAAUUGUAGUGGCGGUGAAGAUGCCGCCUACCCGCAACGGGACGAAAAGACCCCGUGAACCUUUACUAUAGCUUAGCGCUGGACUUUGCCGGACGAUGUGUAGGAUAGGUGGGAGACAAUGAGACGGUCACGCCAGUGGCCGUGGAGUCGCCGUUGAAAUACCACCCUUCGUCCGGCUGGGGUCCUAACCUUCGAGGAAGGGACACCGCUUGGUGGGUAGUUUGACUGGGGUGGUCGCCUCCAAAAGAGUAACGGAGGCUUCCCAAGGUCCGCUCAGUCCGAAUGGCAACCGGACGUAGAGUGCAGUGGCAGAAGCGGGCUUGACUGGGAGACAAACAAGUCGAGCAGGUACGAAAGUAGGGCAAAGUGAUCCGGCGGUUCCUCAUGGGAGGGCCGUCGCUCAAAGGAUAAAAGGUACUCCGGGGAUAAC